CACCUGGUUGAUCCUGCCAGUAGUCAUAUGCUUGUCUCAAAGAUUAAGCCAUGCAUGUCUAAGUAUAAGCUUUAAACGGCGAAACUGCGAAUGGCUCAUUAAAACAGUUAUAGUUUAUUUGGUGAUCGAUUACUAUUUGGAUAACCGUAGUAAUUCUAGAGCUAAUACAUGCGUCAAGGCCCGACUUCGGAAGGGCUGCGUUUAUUAGAUACAGAACCAACCUAGGCUCCGCCUAGUCCUUGUUGGUGAUUCAUAAUAACCCGGCGAAUCGCACGGCUUGUCCGGCGAUGGACCAUUCAAGUUUCUGACCUAUCAGCUAUGGACGGUAGGGUAUUGGCCUACCGUGGCGUUGACGGGUAACGGGGAAUUAGGGUUCGAUUCCGGAGAGGGAGCCUGAGAAACGGCUACCACAUCUAAGGAAGGCAGCAGGCGCGCAAAUUACCCAAUCCUGAUACAGGGAGGUAGUGACAAGAAAUAACAAUACAGGGCAAUUCUGUCUUGUAAUUGGAAUGAGUAGAUUUUAAAUCUCUUUACGAGUAUCAAUUGGAGGGCAAGUCUGGUGCCAGCAGCCGCGGUAAUUCCAGCUCCAAUAGCGUAUAUUAAAGUUGUUGCGGUUAAAAAGCUCGUAGUUGGAUUUCUGCCUUGGGCGACCGAUCCACCUUUCCUACGGGAUUGUUGGUAUCAGUUUGACCUUGGCUUUUUCUUGGAUCGUGCUCACGUACUUAAC
rnacentral:ncRNA from 1 species